rnacentral:rRNA from 1 species
AGAGUUUGAUCCCGGCUCAGAAUCAACGCUGGCGGCGCGCCUAACACAUGCAAGUCGAACGAGAAAGCCGGAGCAAUCUGGUGAGUACAGUGGCGUACGGGUGAGUAACACGUGGAUGAUCUACCUCUUAGUUCGGAAUAACCAUGGGAAACCGUGGCUAAUACCGGAUGAGCUCGAGAGAGGAAAGUCGAAAGACGCUGAGAGAGGAGUCCGCGGCCGAUUAGCUAGUUGGCAGGGUAAAAGCCUACCAAGGCAUAGAUCGGUAGCCGGCCUGAGAGGGCACACGGCCACACUGGCACUGAAACACGGGCCAGACUCCUACGGGAGGCAGCAGUGGGGAAUCUUGCACAAUGGGGGAAACCCUGAUGCAGCGACGCCGCGUGAGCGAUGAAGCCCCUCGGGGUGUAAAGCUCUUUCGGCAGGGAAGACGAUGACGGUACCUGCAGAAGCAGCUGCGGCUAACUACGUGCCAGCAGCCGCGGUAAUACGUAGGCAGCGAGCGUUGUUCGGAGUUACUGGGCGUAAAGGGUGUGUAGGCGGUUGUUUAAGUUUGGUGUGAAAUCUCCCGGCUCAACUGGGAGGGUGCGCCGAAUACUGAAUGACUUCGAGUACGGGAGAGGAAAGUGGAAUUCCUGGUGUAGCGGUGAAAUGCGUAGAUAUCAGGAGGAACACCGGUGGUGUAGACGGCUUUCUGGACCGUAACUGACGCUGAGACACGAAAGCGUGGGUAGCAAACAGGAUUAGAUACCCUGGUAGUCCACGCCCUAAACGAUGCAUACUUGGUGUGAGCCGUUCAUUCGGUUCGUGCCGGAGCUAACGCGUUAAGUAUGCCGCCUGGGGAGUACGGUCGCAAGGCUGAAACUCAAAGGAAUUGACGGGGGCCCGCACAAGCGGUGGAGCAUGUGGUUCAAUU